GCGGUUUUCUGACAAGAAUGAUAUGAUAUGUGGCUAGAAUAGCCAGAAGGGGGUUGAUCAAGUACCCUCAGUCCAAGACUAGGCGGUUGCCGACCUGAACCUCGUGACUACCACAGGUUCUAGUGGCCGUUGGAAGAGUGGCACGAAGGCCAAGAAAGUAUGGGACAGGAUACCACUUUGGGCCCCAUGAUGGUCUUCCCAACCAAACAGAAGACUGCACCUUUAACUCCACGGGGAGGGAUGGUAUCCAUAUCCCUGGCGUCCCCUCCAGUACAUGGGACAGGAGGCCCAGUCCACUGGAAUGGACUUGAAGAGAGCUGGAGCCCAUCCCAGACCCUGAGUUAAUUCCUGAGCCCAUUGGAGACUUUGGAGCAGAGUUUACCACAGAGAAAGAGUGUCUGAUUGAAGAUCUAGGUGACGAGAAGGAUGAAGCCAAGCCUUUGGUUGACAAGGAUCAUUCUAAAAUUGGAACUCAUGGUAAGGGCAUGUAUUGUAUCAUGGUGGGUAUGUGAAUUUCAAGAAUGACCCCUAAAAAGCAACUAAUCCCUUUGAUAACUGCAUAUGUGGCAUCGAUAUGAGUCAAACAUUUAUUCUAGUGUCAAAAUUGCCUACAAAGUUUAAAUAGGAUAAUUUUGGUCAUAGUUAGUCUAAAACGGAGUUUGGAACCUCAGUGCUUCACAACGAGUAAAUGAAGUUUGGAUAACCAUUGUCAACAAAUCAUGCCCCCUUUUUUUAAACUCCAUGUGCAAAUCUAGGUAGCUAGCUAGAUAACUAGCUAGCUACCUCAUUACAACUUAGUUUGGUCAAAUCUCAUACAAGUUUGCAUUGACUAGAUACUUCUGGUUAUGUAACGUUAUCAUUUGACAGCGCUAGCGAGGCAGGCUAGCUAGCUAACGUUAGCCUACAAAUCUGAUUUGCAAG